rnacentral:rRNA from 1 species
GCCCAGACUCCUACGGGAGGCAGCAGUGAGGAAUAUUGGUCAAUGGGCGGGAGCCUGAACCAGCCAAGCCGCGUGAAGGAAGAAGGCGCCAAGCGUCGUAAACUUCUUUUGUCGGGGAACAAAGGGCGCCACGUGUGGCGUUGUGAGUGUACCCGAAGAAAAAGCAUCGGCUAACUCCGUGCCAGCAGCCGCGGUAAUACGGAGGAUGCGAGCGUUAUCCGGAUUUAUUGGGUUUAAAGGGUGCGUAGGCGGAUCGUUAAGUCGGUGGUCAAAUUGAGGGGCUCAACCCCUUCCCACCAUUGAAACUGGCGCUCUUGAGUGGAAGAGAAGUAUGCGGAAUGCGUGGUGUAGCGGUGAAAUGCAUAGAUAUCACGCAGAACCCCGAUUGCGAAGGCAGCAUGCCGGCUUCCGACUGACGCUGAAGCACGAAAGCGUGGGGAUCGAACAGGAUUAGAUACCCCUGUA